rnacentral:piRNA from 1 species
GGGACAUGUGAAGAACCCUGAAGUGC